GGGGGGAAGCGGCAUCCUCUCUCUCCUCCAAAAGCCUCGGCCCACCUCCAGGAUGCCUUGCGUCCCCAUAGCCUGUGGGCGGGUACGCCCCCCCAGCUCCGAUGUUCCGCCUGAGAGGGGGUACGACCCAUGGGACUGAGAUACGCCCAGACUCCUACCGGAGGCAGCAGUAGGAUUUGCGCCAUGGGGAACCCUGACGCAGCACGCCAUGUGUGGGAUGAGCAUUCGGUGUGUAACCACUGUCAGCGGGAUAACCGGCAGCUUCGGGCUGCUUUGAAUGUACCCGCAAAGGAAGCCCCGGCUAACUUCGUGCCAGCAGCCGCGGUAAUACGAGGGGGCAAAUGUUGUUCGGAAUCACUGGGCGUAAAGGGAGCGUAGGCGGGUUCUUAAGUAAGGUGUUUAAUCCCGGGGCCCAACCCCGGACCGGCAUUUUAAACUGGGAAUCUUGAAUAGUGGAGAGGUCGGUGGAAUUGGGGGUGUAGCGGUGGAAUGCGUAGAGAUCCCCAAGAACACCAGUUGCGAAGGCGGCCGACUGGACACAUAUUGACGCUGAGGCUCGAAAGCAUGGGGAGCAAACAGGAUUAGAUACCCUGGUAGUCCAUGCCAUAAACGAUGAAUACUAGGUUUUGGGCCCGUCAACGGUCCAGAGCCGCAGCUAACGCGUUAAGUAUUCCGCCUGGGGAGUACGGUCGCAAGACUGAAACUCAAAGGAAUUGACGGGGGCCCGCACAAGCGGUGGAGCAUGUGGUUUAAUUCGACGCAACGCGAAGAACCUUACCAAGGCUUGACAUGGGACAGACCGUACGAGAGAUCGUGCUUCUCCAGCAAUGGAGCUGUCCACACAGGUGCUGCAUGGCUGUCGUCAGCUCGUGUCGUGAGAUGUUGGGUUAAGUCCCGCAACGAGCGCGACCCCCGUUUCUAGUUGCCAUCAUUCAGUUGGGCCCUCUAGAGAGACUGCCGCGAAUAACGCGGAGGAAGGUGGGGACGACGUCAAGUCAUCAUGGCCCUUACGUCUUGGGCUACACACGUGCUACAAUGGGCGUUACAAAGGGUCGCAAGAGCGCAAGCUGGAGCCAAUCCCCAAAAGCGCCCUCAGUUCAGAUUGAGGUCUGCAACUCGACCUCAUGAAGGUGGAAUCGCUAGUAAUCGCGGAUCAGACGCGCGUAACGCAC
rnacentral:rRNA from 1 species